rnacentral:rRNA from 1 species
UACAGAGGUCUCAAGCGUUGUUCGGAUUCAUUGGGCGUAAAGGGUGUGUAGGUGGCGCUGUAAGUCGGGUGUGAAAUUUCGGAGCUUAACUCCGAAACUGCAUUCGAUACUGCGGUGCUUGAGGACUGGAGAGGAGACUGGAAUUCAUGGUGUAGCAGUGAAAUGCGUAGAGAUCAUGAGGAAGACCAGUGGCGAAGGCGGGUCUCUGGACAGUUCCUGACACUGAGGCGCGAAAGCCAGGGGAGCAAACGGG